rnacentral:rRNA from 1 species
UUCGUAGCUGGUUUGUUAAGUCUCUGGGGAAAUCUUCCGGCUUAACCGGAAGGCAUCUCAGGGAUACUGGCAGACUAGGGACCGGAAGAGGUGAGGGGUACUCCAGGGGUAGGAGUGAAAUCCUGUAAUCCUUGGGGGACCACCUGUGGCGAAGGCGCCUCACCAGGACGGCUCCGACAGUGAGGGACGAAAGCUGGGGGAGCAAACCG